rnacentral:sRNA from 1 species
UACAAAUUGAAAAUACAGUAUAAUAAUAAUAAAUGAUCUUAUCUACUAGACCUUGAGAUCGGAGUACUUGAGUGUGUUUCAAGCAGAUGUUGUAGCAAUCAGAUAAUCCAUUCCCAUUGUCUUCGAACCUACCUCUAUAUAGGCUCAAGUAGCGAUUAAGUAAACAUCUCUAACCAAGAUCACAGACAAGUUCGGUCUUUGCCUAAUAUGGGUGCUCGGACACAGUUACAUUGAUAAGAGUUGUCCCGCAGACGAACUAGCAAGGCAGGCACGAAACUCAUUUCUCACGUAUGAAAUAUUAGAGAUAUACAUAAAUAUGCGAUAGUGGAAACUGAACAAAGAAACUAUUGGCAAUGUUAUACCGACUCAGCAGACUCUGAUGAAGUUGUCGGGCCGAGGAAGAAGAGGUUUCAGUUCCCACUUCUUCACCCACUGUUCUGACCUCGAAUACCGCAGACUUCGAUUUAAAUUUUCUGAGUGGCUUUUAUUUAUUUGUUAUUUAAUCUAACAAUAACUUUAUCAAAGGUUAUAAACCGGGUUGCCACAGAAAACUCUAGACUUUUUUACUCUAGUGGUUUGCCAAAUCCCCCGAAAAAUCCCGAUCUGAGGAGGCUUUAUUGUUCGGACAAUUCUCGGAACUCACGCGCAACAAUAAGAAUGGUUUUUAAAAAAAUUAGACGAGCGAAAAUAGUCAAAUCAAGAAUUAUAUUCCUGUGGAAACGAUUAGAAUUCACCCUUGUUUUAUGGUCGUACUGCUGUUUUCAGCCAAAACGUUUCGUUUUCGUUUUAAGGUGCUCGAUAUGUUUCGUUUUUCAUCGUUUCUGGCAAACAAAAACAGCUGACCUAGCUGCUUUUGUAAAAAUACAGCGUGAUUAAAAUGUCUUUUAUUUUUGCUUGCAAAACGACUGCAGAAAUGACGUGAUCUAAGAAGACCUAGACAUCUUAGAUGCAACAUUUGCGUAUCUAACAUGUCUGACGAGCUGUGAGUAACAGCAUGCAAAUUGAAAAUUAAAUUGCCAAUGAUCAAGA